UAGGUGACCUGCGGAGGGAUCAUUACAAGAACGCCCGGGCUUCGGCCUGGUUAUUCAUAACCCUUUGUUGUCCGACUCUGUUGCCUCCGGGGCGACCCUGCCUUCGGGCGGGGGCUCCGGGUGGACACUUCAAACUCUUGCGUAACUUUGCAGUCUGAGUAAACUUAAUUAAUAAAUUAAAACUUUUAACAACGGAUCUCUUGGUUCUGGCAUCGAUGAAGAACGCAGCGAAAUGCGAUAAGUAAUGUGAAUUGCAGAAUUCAGUGAAUCAUCGAAUCUUUGAACGCACAUUGCGCCCCCUGGUAUUCCGGGGGGCAUGCCUGUUCGAGCGUCAUUUCACCACUCAAGCCUCGCUUGGUAUUGGGCAACGCGGUCCGCCGCGUGCCUCAAAUCGUCCGGCUGGGUCUUCUGUCCCCUAAGCGUUGUGGAAACUAUUCGCUAAAGGGUGUUCGGGAGGCUACGCCGUAAAACAACCCCAUUUCUAAGGUUGACCUCGGAUCAGGUAGGGAUACCCGCUGAACUUAAGCAUAUCAAUAAGCGGAGGA
rnacentral:rRNA from 1 species